GACGAACGCUGGCGGCGUGCUUAACACAUGCAAGUCGAACGGUAAGGCCCUUCGGGGUACACGAGUGGCGAACGGGUGAGUAACACGUGGGUGAUCUGCCCUGCACUUCGGGAUAAGCCUGGGAAACUGGGUCUAAUACCGGAUAGGACCCUGGGAUGCAUGUCCUGGGGUGGAAAGCUUUUGCGGUGUGGGAUGGGCCCGCGGCCUAUCAGCUUGUUGGUGGGGGGAUGGCUACCAAGGCGACGACGGGUAGCCGGCCUGAGAGGGUGACCGGCCACACUGGGACUGAGAUACGGCCCAGACUCCUACGGGGGGCAGCAGUGGGGAAUAUUGCACAAUGGGCGCAAGCCUGAUGCAGCGACGCCGCGUGAGGGAUGACGGCCUUCGGGUUGUAAACCUCUUUCAGCACCGACGAAGCGCAAGUGACGGUAGGUGCAGAAGAAGGACCGGCCAACUACGUGCCAGCCGCCGCAGUAA
rnacentral:rRNA from 1 species